rnacentral:tRNA from 1 species
AUUUAAAUAGCUUAUAAAGAGCAUAGUAUUGAAGAUACUAAGGAAAUUUUUUAUUUUUAAAUA